GACGAACGCUGCGGCGUGCCUAAUACAUGCAAGUCGAACGAACCACGACUAGGUGCUUGCACUUGGUCAAGGUGAGUGGCGAACGGGUGAGUAACACGUGGGUAACCUACCUCAUAGUGGGGGAUAACAGUCGGAAACGACUGCUAAUACCGCAUAGGACAUAGGAUCACAUGAUUCCGUGAGGAAAGGUGGCGCAAGCUAUCGCUAAGAGAUGGACCCGCGGUGCAUUAGCUAGUUGGUAGGGUAAAGGCCUACCAAGGCGAUGAUGCAUAGCCGACCUGAGAGGGUGAUCGGCCACAUUGGGACUGAGACACGGCCCAAACUCCUACGGGAGGCAGCAGUAGGGAAUCUUCCGCAAUGGACGCAAGUCUGACGGAGCAACGCCGCGUGAGUGAAGAAGGUCUUCGGAUCGUAAAGCUCUGUUGUUAGAGAAGAACAGCGCAUAGAGUAACUGUUAUGCGUGUGACGGUAUCUAACCAGAAAGCCCGGU
rnacentral:rRNA from 1 species